UUUUUUAAACGAAGCAAAAAUAACAGAAAAUUUAAUUGAUCAAAUUUGUCGAUGAAAGUCGAUGAAACAGUUGUACGUUCUUACUUUGUGGUAAAUAAGUUUUUCGACGGAAUCAAUGAUUGCAUAAAAAAUUGCAUCGAUCUAAAAUCUUUAUCGUAUCGAAAUCGAAUUCGAUCGAAUAUAAACAUUUUAGUUCUAUGUGCUAAAAAAAUUUUUCAGGUCUGACUAUCAUAUGAACGGUCAAAUGAUUCACAUUGUUCUUGCACAAAUUGUUCCAAAACGUAUAAUACAGUUAUGUCAACAUAUAUAAAACGACAAAAAAAUUACUGUUAUUAAUAAGCAAUGCACAAGAAACUGAACCACAAAACAAAAAUACAGAUGUCGUUGCUCGUCAUCAGCUUUUGUUUUACUUAUACAUUCCUUGAUAAGUAAGAUCGUCAAAUGUUAGUGAAAAUCAAAAAGAAGAAUGUGUGAAACAAAUGAAAUUACUAUGUAAUAGCAAGUACACCAGUUGUUCAGUAGCUUCUUCACUCAUGUAUGAGUAGAUAUUUGCUGAAAAUACAUGCCUAUGAAUGUGAGUGGACAUCACCACCGUAUUUGAAGCAUGUUAAUCAUGUGAAUCUGUGUAAUCAAAUUAAUCACUCUUGCAGUUCUCUGGUGUGCACAUACUUUUGACUACUGGUAUUCAUUAUUUCCUUUGGUCUGUCAUAUGUCCAUCUAUUCUAACUAUACUUACAUCCUUCGCUUAGAAAUAGAUCAAGAUUUACAACUACAUAACAUUUUAUUGUGCUGCAACAACAAUAUAUAAAGCUUUUUCUGUGGAAUUUGUAAAACACGUUCAACUAGUAAAUACUUGUGUCUAUCACUGUAUAUAAAUUUUGGUUUGUAUUUACAUUUCUUAAAUAUUUGCCCCCAUUUUCGUUGUCGUUAUCGUUUUAAACCAAAUAAGAACGCCUAUUUGGCAUUACUGUUGGCGUUAUCGACAUUUAUCGAAAAUAAAUUGAGAUUCCCCAAUUAGAAACGACUAUAGAAUUGACAUAGAAACAGUCGUUCUUUGUCGUUGCUAUAAUUGAGAGCGAUAUAGAAACGACGCGGUUAUUUGAAGGAAUAUUUGAAGUGAAGAUGAAAAUUCCAAAUCGGAAACAGUUUGAAAUUUUAAUUUCUGAAAUAGAAAAAUAUCCUGCAUAUGCCAACGUUUUUAGAAAAGGGAUAAAACCUUUAAAUUUCAAAUUUUUUGGACGGAUAUUUCCAAACAAUUCAAUUAAUUUGCAAGAGGAGUUAAUAAACAGAUACCACAGUCUCCUUUGGAAGAAGCUGUUGCGAAUUUAAUGCAGUUCGGUAAUUAGCUGGACCUCCAGGUAUAGUAGUCGGAUUAGCCGUAAGCGAGGAGACGCUGGAAGUAUCAUAUAUUUUAGAAGAAAGAUUGGAGGACGCAGAUGCCACCACUACUUCUUUUGGUAUACCAGCAAUGGCAGGAAGUGCUAUAAUCGGUGGAGUGUUACUGGCUUUAAUUGAAGGAGUUGGAAUUUUAUUUACCCGUCUUUCUGCAGAACAAUUUCGAAAUCCUACACCACCAAUUGAAGAUCCGAUAGCACUAGGCGAUACUGCACAAUCUUUAGGUUUGGGUCAAACCCAUCAGCAUCAAUCACAGUAUCAGUGAAUACGCGUUGUAAUAUGUACAGGAUUCUUAUUUAUACAUAUGCGUUGUAACAUAUUUGUGAACCACGUUCAUAACGGUGUAAAUUUAUUUUUAAUAGACCAUAAUAUUUAGCAAUUGUACAAUUUCUGAAAAUUACGUUAUAUUAACAUUUAAAUCUUAUAUUUCAAUAGUCAUUUGUAAUAUUCUGAUGAUUAUGUGAAAUAAAUUUAAAUUAAAUAAUGAGUUUGAACAAAGAAAAACUUAAGCCCAAGGUAACAAAAUUAAGGCAAACCACAAACGAAACUAUAACCUAUAUUUAAUUCCAAUUAUUCCAACAGAAAAUGUAUUAUCAAAAUAAUUUCUUGUAGCACACGAGUCAUGAGAGUCUUGUUCACCUAAUGGUUGUUUUUAAUAUCUAAAACUAAACAAGUUAGGUAUAGUGUCGCAAAACAAAAUGGUCAACGAUAAGUUGAGAUAUCUUAAUAAAACUUGGUUUACGUGUUUACCUUAAAAGUAAAAA